UGGGGAAUUUUGGACAAUGGGCGCAAGCCUGAUCCAGCCAUGCCGCGUGCGGGAAGAAGGCCUUCGGGUUGUAAACCGCUUUCGGCCGGAACGAAAUCGCCCGGGUGAAUAGCCCGGGUGGAUGACGGUACCAGAAGAAGAAGCACCGGCUAACUACGUGCCAGCAGCCGCGGUAAUACGUAGGGUGCGAGCGUUAAUCGGAAUUACUGGGCGUAAAGCGUGCGCAGGCGGUCUCGUAAGACAGGUGUGAAAUCCCCGGGCUCAACCUGGGAACUGCGCUUGUGACUGCGAGGCUGGAGUGUGGCAGAGGGAGGUGGAAUUCCACGUGUAGCAGUGAAAUGCGUAGAGAUGUGGAGGAACACCGAUGGCGAAGGCAGCCUCCUGGGCCAGGCACUGACGCUCAUGCACGAAAGCGUGGGGAGCAAACAGGAUUAGAUACCCUGGUAGUCCACGCCCUAAACG
rnacentral:rRNA from 1 species